rnacentral:rRNA from 1 species
GACAGAGGAUGCAAGCGUUAUCCGGAAUGAUUGGGCGUAAAGCGUCUGUAGGUGGCUUUUUAAGUCCGCCGUCAAAUCCCAGGGCUCAACCCUGGACAGGCGGUGGAAACUACCAAGCUGGAGUACAGUAGGGGCGGAGGGAAUUUCCGGUGGAGCGGUGAAAUGCAUAGAUAUCGGGAAGAACACCAACGGCGAAAGCACUCCGCUGGGCUGAUACUGACACUGACAGACGAAAGCUAGGGUAGCGAAAGGG